rnacentral:misc_RNA from 1 species
AACGCACGAGACCUGCGGACCUGCGGAAGGAUCAUUACCGAGUUAUCCAACUCCCAACCCCUGUGAAUCAUACCUUUAAUUGUUGCUUCGGCGGGACUUCGCGCCCGCCGGGGACCCAAACCUUCUGAAUUUUUUAAUAAGUAUCUUCUGAGUGGUUAAAAAAAAUGAAUCAAAACUUUUAACAAUGGAUCUCU